rnacentral:rRNA from 1 species
CAGCAGCCGCGGUAAUACAGAGGGUGCAAGCGUUAAUCGGAUUUACUGGGCGUAAAGCGUGCGUAGGCGGUUUGUUAAGUCGGAUGUGAAAUCCCUGAGCUCAACCUAGGAACUGCAUUCGAAACUGGCAAGCUAGAGUAUGGGAGAGGAUGGUGGAAUUUCAGGUGUAGCGGUGAAAUGCGUAGAUAUCGGAAGGAACACCGGUGGCGAAGGCGGCCACCUGGACUAAUACUGACGCUGAGGUACGAAAGCUUGGGGAGCAAACAGGAUUAGAUACCCCAGUAGUCCCUGUCUCUUAUAA